AUACGGAGGGUGCAAGCGUUACUCGGAAUCACUAGGCGUAAAGCGCGCGCAGGCGGUCUUUUAAGUUGGAUGUGAAAGCCUAUGGCUCAACCAUAGAACUGCAUCCAAAACUAUUUAGCUAGAGUGUGGGAGAGGAAGAUGGAAUUAGUUGUGUAGGGGUAAAAUCCGUAGAGAUAACUAGGAAUACCAAAAGCGAAGGCAAUCUUCUGGAACACUACUGACGCUGAGGCGCGAAAGCGUGGGGAGCAAACAGGAUUAGAAACCCUAGUAGUCC
rnacentral:rRNA from 1 species